GAACCAAAAAAAAAGAUUUUUAAAAAGAGAAGACUGGAUCACUGCAAUGCAGUUCACUUUGAACUUUCCAUUCCUGAUGGAUUGAAGGUUUAAGAUUUAAAGGUUUCUGCCAUGUGUAUAAAACUAAACUACUUUUAGCUAGCAGGGGUAUUAGAAGAGUCCCUUUCCCCCACCCCCUUUUCUUUUGUCACCAGAGUGUCCUAAAAUAAUGAGCUGAUGCAGCUAUGUUCAUUUUGUUGAUGAUUCAGGGGGAUCCUGGAGCUUCUCAUCCAAGAUCCGGAAGGCAGCAACUUUAAACUUUACAUAUGCUUUGGUUUGUGACCUGAGCAUGUGAGAUUUGUGUUUGCACUCAAGUGGCAGAACCCCUUACCUUUCCCCCCACCACCAUGGUUUUGCUCUGUUCAACUCUAACUCUCCACCUUCCUGUUUUACUGAAUAUUUAAACCAAUUAUCCCUAAAACUUCAAAACUAGUGAACUGCAAGCAGGGAAACUAACAAAUGUCCGUCCACCGUUUCUAAUGUGUUUUUGAUUUUUUUAUGUUUUAUUUUUUUAAAACUAAGCUUGAACCAAAGUCAAUUUCUAGCAAGCUGCUGUACUAAUGGACUAGUUUGUAUAAGUGCAGUUCAGAUGCAGAGAGGCGAUAGAUGCUACUGACAAUUUCUUUUUCAUUUGUCUCUUGUUUUUAUUAAUUUUAUAUAAAAGUUGCUGCUUGUUUUUAAUCUUUUUUUUUUCUUUUAUUGGUUGGUUGGUAAUUUGUGUUAUCCUUGGGGCAGACUCUUAACUUGAUUUUAAUUUGUUUUCUUUUGUUUGAUGUGUAAAUAGAAUGGCAAUGUCAGGGGAUUGCUAAUCCAACAGGUCCCACCCUCAUCCCACCAGUAUGGAUAAAUCUGAGUAUUUUUGCUCUAUGACUUCAGGCUGUGCAGGAGACUUUUAGGGCUAGGAAUAAUCCUCAGAAACGGAAAUGGCCCAGAGUAAUAGCUUCAGAGCCGUAAAAGGUAUAGCUGGGUGAGCUUCAGGGAGGUAGGGAAGAAGUGGAAGAGGAGGUGCUGGUGCCAACUAUGUUGGUCUGAAGGCCAUAGCACAGACCACAGUUUCUACCAAAGGAAUGCAAGUCCCUGGGACUUGAGUUCAGUGAAGUAAGAGGAUGGGGAAACGUUCGUUCCUGACUCUGAAAGUUCCCGCUUACUUUCACGCCUGUGCAAAAAUACCACUUAUCAGGAAGCUUUUUUUGUUGCAGGGAGGAUACGACCGGUCGUUUCUCCGGUGUAUCCUCUAUUCCCUAAGGGUUUUGUGGUGGGGUGGGGGGCAUGAUCCUUGCAUAUAUGUAGGAAACACAAAGAAAGGUGGGCCUUAAAUCAGCGGAAAAUCCUCUCCACAGUUCAAAGAGACUGUGCCAUUAGCUGUCUGAAUGAGUUUUCAUGUCCCAUUCUUGCUGGUUUGUGGUUGGGAGAGGGUCUUGUUGAGUACAUAUCUGGAACACUAAUGCAGCUUGGAUGGUUUAUUUAUUAUAAAAAUCUGCUUUUUUUCCUGACUACCUUUGCAUUGGUCACAUGGCUUUGGUGUGAGCACCUUAUAUCCCCUUACCCUCCUCCUCUCUACCCUGUCAACCUCUCUGGGGCCCAGAUUCCAGGGAAUUUCUUAGCAAGUCUUUUUCUGAGAGAAACUGGAAGCGCAGAGUAGCCGCAUAUCCAGGAAGUGUUUGGUAUUGCUUGCAGAAGCUGACAUAACACCCAGACAGCACAUAUCCUGUGGUGUUUAUUACCAGUGUCCUCUGAUUCAUUGUCCUAAAACAUCCCGAUAAUUGACUCCUGAGGCCUGCUUUUCAUCCCUAGCAGUGUUUUGUCUCAUGGAUGCUGGCUAUCUCCAGUGUUUAGGUGAAAUCAAAUUGGCAGUGGAUGUACAUCUGCCUAGAUAUAACACGUAUGCUCCUUCAGAGCAUGAAAGGAAUAUGAGAUCAUGUACUAGAAUUUAGCAGAAGGGUCUUUUUUUAAAUCAUGAUCAUGCUGACAGCAGAAAUUGAUGCAUCUGAAAAGAGACAAUAUCAAUUGUAUGUAGACCUAGUAAAUACAGUCAAAAGGAAUUUCAUAGCAUGUUAGGAAAGGAUAAUAGCAUCUUUUUUUCAAAGCUCCAUGUCUCCAUAUUUAAAGAUGUGUGGGUUGCCUUUCAUAGCUGAAAGCAUGCCAAAGUACAUAUGCAGGAAAAGAGAAGGUGAAGAACUCUCUCAUUAUAUAUAGCCAAGGACAGUUAGCUCAAAAAGAGAGAGAUUUACAGAGACACAAAUACCGAUAUGCCCUGAAGGUCAAGAACAAUUUAGGAAAUGGCUUCAGGGUGUGAGGGUGUUGUAGGCUGGUGAUGAAAUUCCUGCUGGCGUUAAGAAAAUGUAUUCCAGUUUGGCUUUAGCACACUUGAUCUCCUUAGAACACACUUUCUGUAGUCACCGUAGAAUGAUUCAUGAAGAGCUCAUAGAAAGUGCACACAGAUACAGCGGCUUACAAGAGUCACAUCUGUCUAUGUAAUCUCCUUAAGAGGAUUUGUUUUGUUUCUGAGUUACUGUGCAGUGUUAGUCUAAGCACAUUUUUAGCAUUUCCUCCGAGGUGGUGCCUGUGUGCAUGCACUCGGUUGUUGGGGAGGUACCACGCUUGUUACAUGCACAAGUACCUCAUUCAUAAGAGUGUUUUUUCCCCCAGCCCAUAGGCUAACUUGUGGGUAACUUACGAUGACACAUCACUGCUCUGCUCCUUCUCAAGAUCCUCUGCUUCAGUAAAUAGUUGUCGAAACACAAGUUAAAUUGGAUUAAAAAAGUCAUUUUACUAUGAAUGGGAAGUCUGUGUUCGGCUGAACCAGCAAGGAGAGCAUGCUGAGAAGUUAGUUGGAUUUUCAUGUAGGAAUGUGCUGCUGCUGUUUCUCAGUACUUUGGUUUGAGUGCUGGUGAGGUUAUCUCGUAAGAGAAAACAAAAAUGCUAGAACAUUAAGAGGAAAACGUAUAUUCUGAUGGCUGAAAUUGUAGACAUUUUAGGACAUCAGAAGCUUCAGAUGUGAAUUUUCUCUUUAAAUGAACAAGCUGACAAAGAGAUUUUCAGUGGAAACAGUAUAGCUCCUGAUGCAUUUGGAACUACAGUUUGUGAUUUUUGCACCUCCUGAGUUAAUCAGGGAGAUGCCAACACUGAGCAAAGGAAGCUAUCUGCUGAUCUUACAUACAAGUUCUCUCAUAGUAAGGUAGCUUUUAAUUUGAGCAAGAACAAUGCACUCCUUCUACUUUUACCCCUUUUCUUAUUUUAAUCUUACAUACUUAACAGUGAGCAUUAAAUGUAGACAAAGAUUUGAUGCUUCUGAUCUUUUGGUAUCUUGCCAAAAUCUUUUAGGAUAAUUAAUUCCUUAAAAAAAGCAUAGAAAGAACCGGUUUUGCUCAGGGGGCAGUAAGAGAAUGGCUGUUACCAAAACACGUUAGAGAAAAUUCUCCAUGUGCAUCCAUGCCUACAGUUGUGUAAUAGAAAAUUUUGUUUGGUUGGUUUUUUUUACUUCUUUUGGAACUAUAACCUAAUGUUAUGAUUCAUUUUAAUGUUUAAAUGUCAAC
ensembl:lncRNA